CCUACGGGAGGCAGCAGUGAGGAAUAUUGGUCAAUGGACGGAAGUCUGAACCAGCCAUGCCGCGUGCAGGAAGACGGCUCUAUGAGUUGUAAACUGCUUUUGUACGAGGGUAAACCUGAAUAUGUGUAUUCAGCUGAAAGUACUUUACUAAUAAGGAGCGGCUAACUCCGUGCCAGCAGCCGAGGUAAUACGGAGGAUGCAAGCGUUAUCCGGAUUUAUUGGGUUUUAAGGGUGCGUAGGCGGAUUGAUAAGUUAGAGGUGAAAUGUCCGAGCUUAACUCGGGAACUGCAUUUAAUACUGUUGAGCUAGAGAGGAGAUGAGGUAGGCGGAAUGUAUGGUGUAGCGGUGAAAUGCGUAGAGAUCAUACAGAACACCGAUUGCGAAGGCAGCUUACUAAUCUAUAUCUGACGUUGAGGCACGAAAGCGUGGGGAGCAAACAGGAUUAGAUACCCCAGUAGUC
rnacentral:rRNA from 1 species